GUAGUCCACGCCGUAAACGAUCGGCACUUGAGGUGGGCCCUGUCCGGGGUCCGUCUCGCAGCCAACGCGAUAAGUGCCGCGCCUGGGGAGUACGGUCGCAAGACUGAAACUCAAAGGAAUUGACGGGGGCCCGCACAAGCGGUGGAACAUGUGGUUCAAUUCGACGCAACGCGAAGAACCUUACCUGGGCUCGAAAUGCCGGUGACCAUCCGUAGAAAUAUGGACUUCCCGCAAGGGACACCAGUAUAGGUGCUGCAUGGCUGUCGUCAGCUCGUGUCGUGAGAUGUUGGGUUAAGUCCCGCAACGAGCGCAACCCUCGCCUUUAGUUGCCAUCAUUUAGUUGGGCACUCUAGAGGGACUGCCGGUGAUAAGCCGGAGGAAGGUGGGGAUGACGUCAAGUCCUCAUGGCCCUUACGGGUUGGGCUACACACGUGCUACAAUGGCGGUGACAGAGGGGAGCGAACCCGCGAGGGUUAGCCGAUCCCAAAAAGCCGUCUCAGUUCGGAUUGCACUCUGCAACUCGAGUGCAUGAAGUCGGAAUCGCUAGUAAUCGCGGAUCAGCAUGCCGCGGUGAAUA
rnacentral:rRNA from 1 species